UCUCCAGCUCCCCGAUUAUUACAACAGGAAAACAUUACUGGGAGGUAGCUGUGUCACAGAAACGUGCCUGGAUCCUUGGGAUUCUUGAUGCCUCUGUGCUGCUGACAAGACUACUCCAGCUCUCCCUGCCAUGGAAAACUGUGUGUGUGUGUGACCACAAUUAGAAUUUUAUUAUAAUUCUGGUGUUGCUACACACUGGUUCUUUACAAGUAAAUUAAAUUCUAUGGAAUUGUUUCUCAUUUUUAAAAAUUUACCUGAUCAAUAUUGUGAAUAUUAAACAGUACACUGUUUGCAAUAACUUCUGUAAUUUCUAGGAUAUAAGUGGUGGUCCAAUAUGAUAUGUAUUUAUUUUUUGUCUCCUUCUUCCUGUGACCAAGAUAAAUCAUUUUUAGAAUAUAUACUAGUUUGUAUUCAACAUUAUUACCAUUGCUAUGUUUUAAGAAACUGAAUAAAUUGAACAAUGAAUUA